rnacentral:misc_RNA from 1 species
GGAGAGGAGGUGUGGCGACAAAUACAUCACUGAAGGAUCUGGUCCAGAGUGGACUUGUUCUCGGCAUGGACAUGACGCCCCAAGCUGCUUUCACCAAACUCAGCUACGUACUGGCGACAAACCUGAGUAUCGAGAAAAAGAAAAAGUUGCUGCUGCAGAAUCUUAGAUGCGAAAUCACGGUGAAGACAUCUGAUUCUGAAGAGAAAA